rnacentral:misc_RNA from 1 species
UCUUCGCGCCAGAACUUGUUUUGUUUUGACACGGCGCUGAAACGCUGGGGUGUAAUUUCUGUCAAAUUUCGUAAUUUUAUGAGUUGUUGUGUCAGUUUUGUAUCCUUAUUUCUUUCAUCGGAAUCCUCCCGUAUUGAUCUAUCAUGGAUCAUCAACUAACAACAGGUGCUAUUGUGAAAAUGCUCAAUGGAGAAAAGGUUGAUAAUGCAGUUCUCCAAGUCAUAUCUCACAAAAGGGUCGUAGGUGACACGGAGCGGUACCGGCUGCUCAUCUCGGACGGACAGCACAUGAACAGCUUUGCCAUGCUGGGCACCCAGCUGGUCUACAUGAUCCACGAGAACCAGCUGGCGCCCAACCCGUGUUCAGACUGAACCGGUACGUCUCCAACACCGUCAACGGCACCAAGAAGAUCAUCAUCCUGCUGGACAUCACGGUCCUGGUCCCCGGCGCGCAGACCGGCAAGAUCGGCAACCCGCAGGCCUACGCGGCGGGCAGCACUCCGGCCCCGGCCGCUGCGGCUCCCACCCCCCCGCUCCGGCUCCCGCGCCGGCCUUCAAAAACUCGACCAGCAACGGAGCGAUGGCGGCGCGCCCGGUCGCCGCGCCGCCGGCCGCCACUGGCCAGCUGUCCGCGCAGAACGUGAUGCCCAUCGCGCACCUGACACCCUACGCCAACAAGUGGACCAUCAAGGCGCGCGUCACCAGCAAGAGCGACAUCCGCACGUGGAGUAACGCGCGCGGCGAGGGGCUGUUCUCGUUCGAGCUGCUUGACGAGAGCGGAGAGAUUCGCUGCACGGCGUUCAAGGAGCAGUGUGACAAGUUCUACGACUUCCUGGAGCCGAACAAGGUCUACUACCUGAGUCAGGCCUCCCUGAAGCCGGCCAACAAGCAGUUCUGCGGCACGAUCCAGCACGACUUUGAGCUGACGCUCAACCACAACUCGAUUAUCGAGCCGUGCAUGGACGACUCCUCCAUCCCGGGGAUGCAGUUCAACUUUGUGCCCAUCUCUGACCUGCAGACCAUGGAGAAGACCGGCCUGGUGGAUGUGAUCGGCGUCUGCAAGGAGGCCGGCGACCUGGACCGCAUCAUGUCCCGCAAGUUCAGCAAGGAGCUCACCAAGCGGGACCUGAAGCUGGUCGACCAGAGCAACACGGAGGUCACCCUGACGCUGUGGGGCUCGCAGGCCGAGAGCUUCGACGCCGCCGGCAACCCGGUGGUGGCCAUCAAGGGCGCGCGCCUCUCCGACUUCAACGGCUGCAGCCUCAGCUCGGGCGGCAACAGCAAGCUGCAGCUGAACCCCGACAUCGACCAGACCUACAAACUCAAGGGCUGGUACGAGAACGAGGGCGUCAACAUGGAGUCCAAGUCCAUCUCGACGCGAGCUGCCCGGCCGGACAACUUCAAGACGUUCGCCCAGGCCAAACACGAGAACAUCGGCGGUACUGGUGAGCCGGGGUACUACAGCGUGUGUGCCACCAUCCUGCAGCUGCGCAGCGAGAACUGCCUCUACCAGUCGUGCCCGAACGGCGACUGCAAGAAGAAGGUGAUCGACCAGCAGAACGGCACGUUCCGCUGCGAGAAGUGUAACGAGCAGUUCUCGGAGUUCCGAUGGCGGGCGCUGAUGCAGAUGAACGUGGCCGAUAUGACCGACAACCAGUGGGUCACCGCCUUCCAGGAGACCGCCGAGGCGGUGCUCGGAAUCUCUGCAGACGAGCUCGGCAGGAUGCGCGACUCAGAUCCGGAGCGAUUCCAGGCCGUCUUCAACCGGGCCACCUUCAAACAGUUCAACAUGAAGCUGCGCGCCAAGAUGGAGUCCUACAACGACGAGUCGCGCAUGCGCGUUGUAGUGUCGGCGGCGGCGCCCGUGUCGGCUGACCUGGAGGCUCACAAGCGCCGGCUCCGAGAGGAGAUCAUCGCCAUGGGCGGCCAGCCCAACGAAGAGAAGAUGGUGGUCGACUAGGCGGAGGAUCCGGUUAGGAUGGGAGGGACGGGUGAAAAGUGAUGGGGCACAAAAGACGCUGGUGGGUUAUUUGAGAAGAGAUUUCAGACAUGCAAUGCACGUUUGAUAAUCUUGCAUUGAGGUGAUCGUAUCGUGCUGGCUUACCGGACCAAGAUAUGCCGGUGUUAUCUGAGGACUUAACCCCCCCCCCAGCGGCCGGCGGGUGGCGCGGAGGCCCAGCGGCCGCCGGGUUAACCCGUGCUGACUGGGGAGCGAUUGGCUAUCGUAUCACUCGAGCGGGUGGUCCGAAGCACGCCGACGCCUGCGCCGGCCUGAAGUGACCUUGAGUGUCGUGAAUGACUGCCAAGACGACCUGACGAUGUGCUCGGAUGGCCGAGUGUGGUGACUGUUUUCACAGACGUUGCGCAGUGCGUGCCGUCUAGGAUUGGGACUCGAGUCCAGAUAGGCCGCGGGCAGCGGCGAGACGUGCAGUUGCAUGGCUGAACCAAAACUUCGUUACUUGGCGAGAUGCACGUUUUUCUCGUUAAAUGUCCAAGAGGUCCUUGGUCCCACCUCGUUUUCUGAUGUCUGACAGCCAAGCACUCUUAGCAUUCAGUUGCUUCCAAUAUUCCUCCAAUAAGGUAUCUUGGAGCUCCUUGCUGAUUGCAAGUCACCUCUGUUUUUGUAUUUUAGUGCUAUGUUAUUUUGUAAUAUAUAAUAAAAACUCAA